GUCUUGGACUGCCCUCGUUUGAAGGAGACUGUGUUGUCAGAGUUCCUGCCCUGCUCCUGGGCAGUGCCCACCUCCCCGACCCCCAGUCUGUAUGCGUGGCCAACGCCAUGAAGCUCCGACAAGUCCUGUACACCACUGGCAGACACGCCUGUGCCAGGCUGGUGAACUCUCUGGGUGUGCGGGAGCGUCUAUCUCGUCUGCUGGCCCCGGAGCCCAGUGAUCUGCAGCUGGAGCCAGGGGAGGCCCUGAGGGUCAGCUCUGCGUCCUACCGGCUGUGGGCUGUGGCAGCCAGCUACGACAGGCCUGCAACCUCUACAAGAGAGUAACUGGUCGUAACUGGGUUGACUGACAACGUCACGAAUAUGAUGCGUGUGCAUCGAUGUGGCCGGAAGGUGUGCGUUGAUGUCAUAUAUAUGCUAAUAUGGCUACAUUUCGCUAGCUAGCUAAUCAGAAACUGUAACAAUGUAUUUCAGAGACAAGUGCUCAUUGUCUAAAUGUAUUUGUUUUCAAUAAACAUUUGGAGACUAAAUAUAGUUGACAUGUUGUCAACAGUCUCAGCCAACCCUGUCUGCUUUGCCCCAUAGUUGUGCACGUGUCAGUUUUGUUGCUAAGCAACCAAGCGUCUAUGGGCUCAGUCAUAUCAUUGAAGACACCUGGUGGAUGAGACCUGUACCCCAUCCUGGUGAAAAUGUUGCAGUCUACCCAGCAGCUCUGGCCCCCUUCGGAUCCCUUGCUGCCCCUGGAGCACCACAGGCCCUCCUCACUCUGCUCACACACUCUGCUCACACACGUCACACACACCGCCGGCUGCCAUCAGGAGCUGCAGGCUGGCCUGGUCAGGUAACACACACUCUGGCUUUCUGAUACUUUUUAACUGUAGCUUUCUGUAGUUCGUUGAUUUGUUGUUAUCCACUAGAUUCAACAGAGCCAAACCUCUACUUUCACUACAGUUCCCAGGGGGCUGAGUGUGUCCCCAGUGAUGUGGGGUCAUAUAACAGGUCUGCAGCUCAAGGUGCUGGGGCUGCUAAAGGGCUGUGUGAGGACCCUGGGGGACCAUGUCCAAAGGGAGAGCACCCUGAGACUGGUGCCGCCCUACCUGCUUUACAUUGGGUCCUUCUACUCCCAGCUCUCUAUCCAGAGCUUGUUCAAUCCAGUGGAGUGUGCAGGAGCUGGAGAUGCUGACCUCAGAGGUUCUUCUCCCUCUGCUGUCCCAUGA
rnacentral:lncRNA from 8 species